AAACUUUAAUCAAGGUUCCUAGGUGUUCCAUAGGGAUACCUGAGACUUAAAGGAAGGGAUGGGAGGGUAAGUGAAAUGGUCCCUUGGCCCUCUUCUACUUGCUCAUUCAGACAAGCCUGGUUUUAUAAACCAACUUCUGUGUCAAAUUUCUUUGGUCAAAGAAUUCCUUUGCUAUAGGGAAAGUUUGACCAGAUGACUCCUAAGGUCCAACCUUUCAGCUUUUCCAGCUCCAAGAUCCUGUAUCAAAA
rnacentral:lncRNA from 1 species